CGACGCUUUGGGCUUGGCUUCGAAUGAUGAUUUUGAUCCCCCGCUCGCGGUGGGUGUGAAUAGUCGAUCGUCGUCCAAGGUCGUUUUAGCGUACGGCGCAUGAGUGGCGAUUUGGUUGCUUGGGUCUGUAGGCUUGAUGCUCGGGCGUCAAACUGUAGGCGACAUCCCCUCCUCAUUGGUGUGUCCCAAAGUAUUUUGAGUGACCGUAGUCCGUUGGUUCUUGCACAGAUUACCUCGUGCACCGGUAGGCAUCGAGUCUUGUUAGUCCCUUUCUGU